rnacentral:lncRNA from 1 species
AUGGUGGCAGAAGAUCAGCCUAGGCCUAUUAAUCAGUCUAAGUUCCAGCCUGGGCUGAGCGAGUCUCGAGAAAGCCAGCUCAUCUCCUUUUGUGUUGAAGGGCAGGGGAAGGGAACCAAGAUUGAGGAUCAAGGCUGCGCUGCUUCAGUGCCUUCAUGGACAACCAAAUUCCAGUUGCCAGCUUUCUUCGUAGGCAUCUGUUCCUCACAAAAUGGCUUCGGCGGAACAUAACUUUCCAAAAGAAGAGCACUCCAGCCCCUGCCUCUAUGUUCACCUAUCUUUCUGAGUCAGCUUUUCAGCAACAAAUGCCACCAAGCUAGUUAGCUGACAGUACCAACUACAGAAGGAAAUCAUGUUGGAAAUGUCACUGAGGCCAGGCUGCCUCCCCACCUCCACCCACAGCCUCUUUCAUCUCACCAUCCAUUCCUUCCAGAGUGGCAGAAGGAGACUGGGUGGCAAGUGUAUUUAAGAUUCUGAGGAAAAGGCCUGUUAAGUCGACCUUGGUAACUUAACUGAAACAGUAUAUGUGUAAAUCCAUUGAAAAUCCCUGGCCUUUUACAACUUCUGUCCCAAUGGAAAUCAGAUCACAGGACUGUUUACAAGAGACCACGAUUCAUUUGGAUAAAGACCCAUGACAGCACGGCCCAGGAUUAUUUGAAAUUUUAGUAACCUAAGCUUUAAAAAUAUUCUAAAAGCAAAAUAAUGGGGGCAGGUAAUUGCCACAAGCUAAUUACUUAUGAUAUUUCAUAUAUAUAAUCGAAGAACAAUCUCUGUAAAUGUCAACUCAUGGCACUCUGGCAAUCACUUGUAAGUUUUAUUGUUUAAAGAAAUGUCAGCAUUUCCAUUUUCCCUAACUUUAGUUAACCUGGGCCCUCCACUUAGCUAAGUGGCCACCAGAAAAGCACUUUAUGCUGUUAUUUCAUAGCAGAGCAGGUCCUCAGUUUUGCUGUAAUUUUAUUGCUGUAAAAAAAGCAUAAAGUGUGUACAAAAGAAUUUAAAUGUUAAAAUGAAAGAUGAUAGA